AAUCCUCGGGCUCAACUCGAGAAUUGCCUUCGAUACUGGCAAACUAGAGUGGCGGAGAGGAAAGCGGAACUCUUGGUGUAACGGUGGAAUGUGUAGAUAUCAAGAGGAACACCGGUGGCGAAGGCGGCUUUCUGGACGCACACUGACGCUCAGGCGCGAAAGCGUGGGUAGCAAACAGGAUUAGAUACCCUGGUAGUCCACGCCAUAAACGAUGGGUACUAGGUGUCGGGGGUAUCGACCCCUCCGGUGCCGCAGUUAACGCACUAAGUACCCCGCCUGGGGAUUAUGGUCGCAAGGCUGAAACUCAAAGGAAUUGACGGGGCCCCGCACAAGCGGUGGAGCAUGUGGUUUAAUUCGACGCAACGCGAAGAACCUUACCUGGGCUUGACAUGCUUGGGACAGCGCUGGAAACAGCGUCUCUCCUUCGGGAGCCCUUGCACAGGUGCUGCAUGGCUGUCGUCAGCUCGUGUCGUGAGAUGUUGGGUUAAGUCCCGCAACGAGCGCAACCCUCGUUACUAGUUGCCAUCAGUUCGGCUGGGCACUCUAGUGAGACUGCCGGUGAUAAACCGGAGGAAGGUGAGGAUGAUGUCAAGUCAUCAUGGCCCUUACGCCCAGGGCUACACACGUGCUACAAUGGUCGGCACAAAGGGUCGCUAAGCCGCGAGGUGGAGCUAAUCCCAAAAAGCCGGCCUCAGUUCGGAUUGGAGUCUGCAACCCGACUCCAUGAAGGCGGAAUCGCUAGUAAUCGCGGAUCAGCAUGCCGCGGUGAUAUGUUCCCGGGGCUUGUACACACCGCCCGUCAUAUCACCCGAGUCGGGAUACCCGAAGUCCGUGACCCAACC
rnacentral:rRNA from 1 species